AAAACAAAGUAGAAGUAUCCGCUUCUCACCUUAUAGCAUAGAGCUCAUAAGGUUAAUAUUGACGAUUUAUAAGUAUUGUUGUACUUUUUUGUCGUUUUUAAUGCGGAUAGUUUCUACUAUCCGCAUUAAUUUUAUUUA
rfam:Proteiniborus sp. DW1 genome assembly, contig: DW1_contig21